AGGAGAAGAUGCAGGACCAGGAGGACAAAGAGACGGGAGCUCCUACUGCAGAGACAGGAAAGUAACAGACGUCCAAAGACCAAACAAACGGAGAAGAGGAGAGUAUGAAGAAGACAUUCCAGAUGAAAACAUUCAUGAGCACGGACUACUUCCUCCCCCCUUCCAGUUGGUAUGGAGUUCUUAGUCCCAAAGACCGCUUUCUU